rnacentral:rRNA from 1 species
CUUGAACGCUGGCGGCAGGCCUAACACAUGCAAGUCGAACGAGUGGCGGACGGGUGAGUAAUGUCUGGGAAACUGCCUGAUGGAGGGGGAUAACUACUGGAAACGGUAGCUAAUACCGCAUACCAUCGGAUGUGCCCAGAUGGGAUUAGCUCGUAGGUGGGGUAAAGGGUCACCUAGGCGACGAUCCCUAGCUGGUCUGAGAGGAUGACCAGCCACACUGGAACUGAGACACGGUCCAGACUCCUACGGGAGGCAGCAGUGGGGAAUAUUGCACAAUGGGGGCAAGCCUGAUGCAGCCAUGCCGAGUGUAUGAAGAUGGCCUUCGGGUUGUAAAGUACUUUCAGCGGGGAGGCGAUACGCGAAGGAGAAGCACCUGCUAACUCCGUGCCAGCAGCCGCGGUAAUUC